GCGGCGAUAGCUUAGUGGUAAUAGCGCCAGGUGAGAAGGUAGAGAUUUCUCCAAGAGCUAUUAUCUGCCCGGGUUCGAUUCCCGCUUGUGGCA